rnacentral:rRNA from 1 species
UACGUAGGUGGCAAGCGUUGUCCGGAAUUAUUGGGCGUAAAGCGUGCGUAGGUGGUUUGUUAAGUCUGUUGUGAAAGCCCCGGGCUCAACCUGGGAAUGGCAAUGGAUACUGGCAGGCUAGAGUGCGGUAGAGGGUAGUGGAAUUCCCGGUGUAGCGGUGAAAUGCGUAGAGAUCGGGAGGAACACCGGUGGCGAAGGCGGCGAUCUGGGUCGAUACUGACGCUGAGGUGCGAAAGCGUGGGGAGCAAACAGG